UAUGUCGCCCUGUCAUCACUAGGCCAGCUUUACCUGUGGCUACAAGUUCCUUAGACUCUGGACAAAGGGGGCCUCUGUCAUCUCCACAUUUGACUUUCUCAGAUUCCUAAUCUGAGUCAUGAACUUGGAAGGUACUUUCAAACCUCACUGUUGAUUUUGACAACCUGAAAGCCCACAAUUGGGGGUGAAGGGGAAAACACCCACUGGACUGAGAAGAAACGUG
rnacentral:lncRNA from 1 species